UACGAAGGAUGCAAGCGUUACUCGGAAUUAUUGGGCGUAAAGAAUGCGUAGGCGGAUUUAUAAGUCAAUAGUGAAAUACCAGAGCUUAACUUUGGUGCUGCUGUUGAAACUGUGAGUCUUGAAUGUGAAAGAGAGUAGGGGAAUUCUUGGUGUAGGGGUAAAAUCCGUAGAUAUCAAGAGGAAGGCCAGAGGCGAAAGCGCCUACUUGGGUCACUAUUGACGCUGAGGCAUGAAAGCGUGGGGAGCAAACAGG
rnacentral:rRNA from 1 species